GAUGAACGCUAGCGAUAGGCUUAACACAUGCAAGUCGAGGGGCAGCACAAGGUAGCUUGCUAUCUGGGUGGCGACCGGCGCACGGGUGCGUAACGCGUAUGCAACUUGCCCUAUACAGGAGGAUAACCCGUCGAAAGACGGACUAAUACUGCGUAUGCUCACAACUUGGCAUCAAGUGGUGAGGAAAGAAAUUCGGUAUAGGAUAGGCAUGCGUCCCAUUAGCUUGUUGGUGAGGUAACGGCUCACCAAGGCAACGAUGGGUAGGGGAACUGAGAGGUUUAUCCCCCACACUGGUACUGAGACACGGACCAGACUCCUACGGGAGGCAGCAGUGAGGAGUAUUGGUCAAUGGGCGCGAGCCUGAACCAGCCAAGUCGCGUGAAGGAUGACUGUCUUAUGGAUUGUAAACUUCUUUUAUACGGGAAUAACAAGAGUCACGUGUGACUCCCUGCAUGUACCGUAUGAAUAAGCAUCGGCUAACUCCGUG
rnacentral:rRNA from 1 species